CACGUAGGGCGCAAGCGUUGUCCGGAAUUAUUGGGCGUAAAGAGCUUGUAGGCGGUCUGUCGCGUCGGUCGUGAAAACUUGGGGCUUAACCCUGAGCUUGCGGUCGAUACGGGCAUGACUGGAGUUCGGUAGGGGAGACUGGAAUUCCUGGUGUAGCGGUGAAAUGCGCAGAUAUCAGGAGGAACACCGGUGGCGAAGGCGGGUCUCUGGACCGACAUUGACGCUGAGGCGCGAAAGCGUGGGGAGCAAACAGG
rnacentral:rRNA from 1 species